UACGAAGGGGGCUAGCGUUGUUCGGAAUUACUGGGCGUAAAGCGCACGUAGGCGGACUAUUAAGUCAGGGGUGAAAUCCCGGGGCUCAACCCCGGAACUGCCUUUGAUACUGGUAGUCUCGAGUCCGGAAGAGGUGAGUGGAAUUCCGAGUGUAGAGGUGAAAUUCGUAGAUAUUCGCAAGAACACCAGUGGCGAAGGCGGCUCACUGGCCCGAUACUGACGCUGAGGCACGAAAGCGUGGGGAGCAAACAGGG
rnacentral:rRNA from 1 species